rnacentral:rRNA from 1 species
AGAGUUUGAUCAUGGCUCAGGACGAACGCUGGCGGCGUGCCUAACACAUGCAAGUCGAACGGGGUCCAUCCGGUGGCAACACCGGUGAAGACCUAGUGGCGAACGGGUGCGGAACACGUGAGCAACCUGCCCCAAAGACCGGGAUAACAGCGGGAAACCGCUGCUAAUACCGGAUACCCCCACGAGCUCGCAUGGGCUUGUGCGGAAAGGAUUCCGCUUUGGGAGGGGCUCGCGGCCUAUCAGCUUGUUGGUGAGGUAAUGGCUCACCAAGGCAACGACGGGUAGCUGGUCUGAGAGGACGAUCAGCCACACUGGGACUGAGACACGGCCCAGACUCCUACGGGAGGCAGCAGUGGGGAAUCUUGCGCAAUGGGCGAAAGCCUGACGCAGCAACGCCGCGUGGGGGAUGAAGGCCUUCGGGUUGUAAACCCCUUUCAGUGGGAACGAAAUUGACGGUACCCACAGAAGAAGCCCCGGCCAACUACGUGCCAGCAGCCGCGGUGAUACGUAGGGGGCGAGCGUUGUCCGGAUUCAUUGGGCGUAAAGAGCUCGUAGGCGGCUUGGUAAGUCGGGUGUGAAACCCUCAGGCUCAACCUGGGGACGCCACUCGAUACUGCCAUAGCUAGAGUCCGGUAGGGGACCACGGAAUUCCUGGUGUAGCGGUGAAAUGCGCAGAUAUCAGGAGGAACACCGGUGGCGAAGGCGGUGGUCUGGGCCGGCACUGACGCUGAGGAGCGAAAGCGUGGGGANNGAACAGGAUUAGAUACCCCCGUAGUCC